rnacentral:rRNA from 1 species
AUUGAACGCUGGCGGCAUGCCUUACACAUGCAAGUCGAACGGCAGCACGGGAGCAAUCCUGGUGGCGAGUGGCGAACGGGUGAGUAAUAUAUCGGAACGUGCCCAGUAGUGGGGGAUAACUGCUCGAAAGAGCAGCUAAUACCGCAUACGACCUGAGGGUGAAAGGGGGGAUCGCAAGACCUCUCGCUAUUGGAGCGGCCGAUAUCAGAUUAGCUAGUUGGUGGGGUAAAGGCCUACCAAGGCAACGAUCUGUAGUUGGUCUGAGAGGACGACCAGCCACACUGGGACUGAGACACGGCCCAGACUCCUACGGGAGGCAGCAGUGGGGAAUUUUGGACAAUGGGCGCAAGCCUGAUCCAGCAAUGCCGCGUGCAGGAAGAAGGCCUUCGGGUUGUAAACUGCUUUUGUCAGGGAAGAAAUCCUCUAGGUUAAUACCCUUGGGGGGAUGACGGUACCUGAAGAAUAAGCACCGGCUAACUACGUGCCAGCCGCCGCAGUAAUAC